AUUGAACGCUGGCGGCAUGCUUUACACAUGCAAGUCGAACGGCAGCGCGGGCUUCGGCCUGGCGGCGAGUGGCGAACGGGUGAGUAAUACAUCGGAACGUGCCCAGUAGUGGGGGAUAGCUCGGCGAAAGCCGGAUUAAUACCGCAUACGACCUGAGGGUGAAAGCGGGGGAUCUUCGGACCUCGCGCUAUUGGAGCGGCCGAUGGCAGAUUAGCUAGUUGGUGGGGUAAAGGCCUACCAAGGCGACGAUCUGUAGCUGGUCUGAGAGGACGACCAGCCACACUGGGACUGAGACACGGCCCAGACUCCUACGGGAGGCAGCAGUGGGCAAUUUUGGACAAUGGGCGAAAGCCUGAUCCAGCAAUGCCGCGUGUGUGAUGAAGGCCUUCGGGUUGUAAAGCACUUUUGGCGGGAACGAAAAGGACUGUGCCAAUACCACGGUUCGAUGACGGUACCCGCAGAAUAAGCACCGGCUAACUACGUG
rnacentral:rRNA from 1 species